rnacentral:rRNA from 1 species
GGCGUAAAGCGUGCGCAGGCGGUUAUGUAAGACAGAUGUGAAAUCCCCGGGUAAUCUGGGAACUGCAUUUGUGACUGCAUAGCUAGAGUACGGUAGAGGGGGAUGGAAUUCCGCGUGUAGCAGUGAAAUGCGUAGAUAUGCGGAGGAACACCGAUGGCGAAGGCAAUCCCCUGGACCUGUACUGACGCUCAUGCACGAAAGCGUGGGGAGCAAACAGGAUUAGAUACCCUGGUAGUCCACGCCCUAAACGAUGUCAACUGGUUGUUGGGUCUUCACUGACUCAGUAACGAAGCUAACGCGUGAAGUUGACCGCCUGGGGAGUACGGCCGCAAGGUUGAAACUCAAAGAAAUUGACGG